AUUGAACGCUGGCGGCAGGCCUAACACAUGCAAGUCGAACGAGUGGCGGACGGGUGAGUAAUGUCUGGGAAACUGCCUGAUGGAGGGGGAUAACUACUGGAAACGGUAGCUAAUACCGCAUACCCUCGAAUGUGCCAAGAUGGGAUUAGCUAGUAGGUGGGGUAAAGUCUCACCUAGGCGACGAUCCCUAGCUGGUCUGAGAGGAUGACCAGCCACCGUGGAACGUGGACACGGUCCAGACUCCUACGUGAGGCAGCAGUGGGGAAUAUUGGACAAUGGGCGCAAGCCUGAUGCAGCCAUGCCGCGUGUAUGAAGAAGGCCUUCGGGUUGUAAAGUACUUUCAGCGGGGAGGCGUUACCCGCAGAAGAAGCACCGGCUAACUCCGUGCCAGCAGCCGCGGUAAUUC
rnacentral:rRNA from 1 species